UCUUUGACUUCUCCAUAGUGGCUGGUUUCACGCAGGAGAUUCUCAAAGGUAUUUCUGAAGACAGCCAGCCAGCAUGCAGGGAGCUGGAGAGGCCAGGGUUCGCCUUCUUUUCUACUGUGAGGGCCUCAUGUUCAAUAGCAGAGCCCAGCCCCCUCCUUCUAGGCUCCCUACCAGGCUUGCAACGUGUGUGCAGUACGGAGCAGACCACUUUAAAGUGAAUCUGUACACUUCUACCCAAAGGAAAAACCUUUUAUGCAGAAAAACAGGUGAUGGGACAACUGGAGAAACAGUCAUUGCUAACCUAAGUGAGUUUCCAGACAGCUGAUCCUACCACCGGGCUGGCUGUCUUUAUCCUGAAAAUGUCAUCCUUCUUUAGUCUGUAAAUAUCAUGCUAUAGAACACCUUAGAGCUGGCUUUGGGAAGAGACGGAGCCAAAGAUGCACAGGCAGUUUUCUGUCAACCAAAGGACAAUGCUUCUUUCUUGGAUUUAAUAAAAAGGGGAGGGGGCUGGGCAGGCUGCUAUGGAGAAAGGAUAAGCAAUAUCCCUCCUGCCAUCGCUUUGUGGCUUCUGUAAUAAAAUGAUGAAAGAGCGCCUUUGUCCUCCCAAACACCGGUCUUACUUGGGCACAUUUGCUUUUUCACUUUCAAAUGCGUGAAUUCUUGGAAUAUGACUGUGGUUUGCCUUUUAAACCUGCACCCAUAGGUUCUGUUAAGGGCUAUGCAGGGUCCUUUUACCUUGCAAUAUCUCCCAAGCCCAGGCCAAAUCCUCUAUUUCACCUUUUCAAAGUCUCACACUCCACUAAGUCAAGAUGUAGUUCAGUUAACUAACACUUUGUCAAAAAUAAAUUCCACCAGAAAUGUAAAGAUUAUCUUUCCUUAAUGUGAAACAUUCUGUA
rnacentral:lncRNA from 1 species